AGCUUCACACAGUGGCAGUAUCAUAGCCAAUGAGGUCUAUCCAAGGCAUGGUUAUUGCUGAUUUAAAACUUUUCUCAAUGCUCAAAAAUUAUAAAUAUAUGACAUUUGUGAUAUAUUAUCACAGAU
rnacentral:snRNA from 1 species